GAUGGUUUCACAGAGAUGUGACCACGUGAGGGACAAUUGGGGUCUCCCCCUUGGGUUCACACCUCAAAAAGGCGGCUGCCGCCUCCAAGAGAAUCCUCUGUCUCCUCCCCCACUCUCUCUUAACUAUUUAUUUUGAGAGUGGCUCACACCUUGGUUGGCCUCAACACGCAGAGAUCCUCCUUCCUCCGUGUUGGGGUUGGAGGCAUUCGCAACCCUAGGAAGCCCCUCCACCUGGAACAGAGACUUCCCCAAAAUUUGAGGUCCCCAAAACCUCAGGGACACAGGCAUUCAACUUAACAAAAAAGAACUGUGGAAUAUCCAAACAACAGAUGCACAGCACACAAGAUGGAGAAACUUCCAGAAGCAUUAGCCACUGAAGCAAGGAAGAGAAGGCCUAGGGUUGGACUGUUCAUGACCUGGGCAUGUAGAGGAAUGCAACAGCACAAGAAAACAGCAGACAGGGACAGAAGAAAAAGAGAGGAUCAACACUGAAGGAAAGGCAACAAGGGCCAGACAGUGGACGCAGAAGUUAGGGGCUUGUUUCCACUCCAGGCCCUGUGUUCAGUUCUCAGCACCAUGUCAGGUGGCUCACAGCCAGCUCUAGGGAUCAGAGUGCCCUCUUCUGACCUCUGAGGGAAGUGCACUUGUGUGCAUACUCACAGAGGCACACAGGCACAAACACAAGUAAAAAUGAACUAAACCCUAAAUAAAAUAAAAUAAAGACAGAUAAAGAGAUUGAAAAGUAAAAGAGUGACUAUGCAAUAAGAGGAAAUAUAAAAAACUAGACAUGCACAACAAGCCAUGUAGCACAGAGCACUGAGGCUGAGCACUCACGU